rnacentral:rRNA from 1 species
GACGAACGCUGGCGGCGUGCUUAACACAUGCAAGUCGAACGAGUCUCUCCAAUGAAGUUUGAAGCUUCGGCCGAUAACUGAUUUGGGCUCAAAGGUGAGUGGCGAACGGGUGAGUAACGCGUGGAUAAUCUGCCCUAAAGACAGGGAUAACCUUGGGAAACCAGGGCUAAUACCGGAUAAUGUCUGUUUUCAUAUGAUUUCAGACCAAAUGCUCCGGCGCUUUAGGAUGAGUCCGCGUAUCAUUAGCUUGUUGGUAGGGUAAAGGCCUACCAAGGCGACGAUCAUUAGCCGGCCUUAGAGGGCGAUCGGCCACACUGGAACUGAGACACGGUCCAGACUCCUACGGGAGGCAGCAGUGAGGAAUUUUGCGCAAUGGGCGAAAGCUUGACGCAGCGACGCCGCGUGGAGGAUGAAGGCCUUCGGGUGGAAGAAGUUAACAUCAUCUAAUAGGUGUUGUUAUUGACGGUACCUGUAGAGGAAGCACCGGCUAACUCCGUGCCAGCAGCCGCGGUAAUACGGGGGGUGCAAGCGUUAUUCGGAAUUAUUGGGCGUAAAGGGCGCGUAGGCGGUCUUGUCGGUCAGAUGUGAAAGCCCGGGGCUCAACCCUGGAAGUGCAUUUGAAACAGCAAGACUUGAGUACUGGAGAGGAGAGCGGAAUUCCUGGUGUAGAGGUGAAAUUCGUAGAUAUCAGGAGGAACACCGAUGGCGAAGGCAGCUCUCUGGACAGAUACUGACGCUGAGGCGCGAAGGCGUGGGUAGCGAACAGGAUUAGAUACCCUGGUAGUCCACGCAGUAAACGUUGUUCACUCGGUGUGGCGGAUCUUAAAAUCUGCUGUGCCUAAGCUAACGCAUUAAGUGAACCGCCUGGGGAGUACGGUCGCAAGACUAAAACUCAAAGGAAUUGACGGGGGCCCGCACAAGCGGUGGAGCAUGUGGUUUAAUUCGACGCAACGCGAAGAACCUUACCUGGGUUUGACAUCCUGUGAAUCUUUGAGAGAUCAAAGAGUGCCUUCGGGAACACAGUGACAGGGUGGUGCACGGUUGUCGUCAGCUCGUGUCGUGAGAUGUUGGGUUAAGUCCCGCAACGAGCGCAACCCUUGUCCUAUGUUACCAGCGGUUCGGCCGGGGACUCAUAGGAGACUGCCGAGGUUAACUGGGAGGAAGGCGGGGAUGACGUCAAGUCCUCAUGGCCCUUAUAUCCAGGGCUACACACGUGCUACAAUGGCCGGUACAACGGGCUGCAACGGAGCAAUCCUGAGCGAAUCUCUUAAAACCGGUCUCAGUUCGGAUUGGAGUCUGCAACUCGACUCCAUGAAGUUGGAAUCGCUAGUAAUCGCGAAUCAGCAACGUCGCGGUGAAUACGUUCCCGGGUCUUGUACACACCGCCCGUCACACCACGAAAGUCGGUAACACCCGAAGCCAGUGGCCUAACCCUUUGGGAAGGAGCUGUCGAAGGUGGGACCAGCGAUUGGGGUG